AAAAAGGGCUUCUGUCAUGAGUGGCAUGUGUAGGGCAGCUUGAUUGCUCUAUGUGCAGAAUAAACAUCAAGAGAUUUUGGAAGCAUAAUUUUUUGGUACCUGAGCAGUUAGUGAUUGUUCGUCCUGGCAUCAA